UGUUUUAAACAGAUGUAUUUGUGCCCUCUCCAGACAGUCUCUUGGUCAAUAUCCAUGAAAGCAAAGCACUUGUACAAGAUCUGUUGACCAAUCUUCCAUCAAUUCAUGCACAAAAUGGAGAACCGACGAGUGCCUUGGGUGCUGCUGUACAGGCUGCUUAUAAGUUAGUGAGUCCUAUUGGUGGAAGGGUAUCGGUGUUCCAGACUUGCCUUCCUAAUGCUGGUCCUGGUAGCCUCAAGCCUAGAGAAGACCCUAAUCAGAGGGCUGCAAAGG